rnacentral:rRNA from 1 species
CCUUAGGGGGCAAUCGUCGAUCGUCCUCCCUUCUCUUCCCUCUCUUUUCUUCUUUUCUUCCUUUCUUCUGUUAAAGCCCCCGGCUCAACCGGGGAAUUGCAGGGGAAACCGCCGCUCUUGAGGCAGGUAGAGGUGACCGGAACGUGUGGUGGAGCGGUGAAAUGCGUAGAUAUCACACGGAACGCCGGUGGUGAAAACGGGUCACUGGGCCUGUCCUGACGCUGAGACGCGAGAGCGUGGGGAGCAAACAG